rnacentral:ncRNA from 1 species
UUAAAUGUUCAAGUCCAAGAUGAUUCAAAAUGAAAAUGUCUCCUUGGUAUAUAUAGGAGACUAGGAGAUAUAAUUACAACUAAUGGCCUAAAGCCGACAUAAAUAAAACAACAUUAAUAAUAUAAAAUGCCCCAAUUAAGGGUUAAUGAGCUAAUAUUAGGGCUUAACACUAGAUGGUGAGAGUCCAGUAGCCAAAAGCAUCAUUGGAUUAUGCUCUAACCGGAGUAGCAUGGGGCAUGUAGAAUCCCGUGUGAAUCAGAAAGGACCACCUUGCAAGGCUAAAUACUCCAGGGUGACCGAUAGCGAAGUAGUACCAUGAGGGAAAGGUGAAAAGAACCCCCAUCGGGGAGUGAAAUAGAACAUGAAACCGUAAGCUUCCAAGUAGUGGGAGGAAAAUGAUAUCUCUGACCAUGUGCCUAUUGAAGAAUGAGCCGACGAAUUAUAGGUAGUGGCUUGGUUAAGGAAUGGUGAAGUAGGGAGAAUGAAUAACCCAUUGUGACUUUUUUUU